AGCGGAGGAAAAGAAACCAACAGGGAUUGCCCCAGUAACGGCGAGUGAAGCGGCAACAGCUCAAAUUUGAAAUCUGGCCCCCGGGUCCGAGUUGUAAUUUGUAGAGGAUGCUUUUGGCGAGGUGCCUUCCGAGUUCCCUGGAACGGGACGCCAUAGAGGGUGAGAGCCCCGUCUGGUCGGACACCGAGCCUCUGUAAAGCUCCUUCGACGAGUCGAGUAGUUUGGGAAUGCUGCUCAAAAUGGGAGGUAUAUGUCUUCUAAAGCUAAAUAUUGGCCAGAGACCGAUAGCGCACAAGUAGAGUGAUCGAAAGAUGAAAAGCACUUUGAAAAGAGGGUUAAAAAGUACGUGAAAUUGUUGAAAGGGAAGCGCCUAUGACCAGACUUGGGCCCGGUGAAUCAUCCAGCGUUCUCGCUGGUGCACUUUGCCGGGCACAGGCCAGCAUCAGUUUGGCGCGGGGGAGAAAGGCUCUGGGAAUGUGGCUCCUCCGGGAGUGUUAUAGCCCACUGCGUAAUACCCUGCGCCGGACUGAGGUACGCGCAUUGCAAGGAUGCUGGCGUAAUGGUCAUCAGCGACCCGUCUUGAAACACGGACCAAGGAGUCGUCUUCGUAUGCGAGUGUUCGGGUGUCAAACCCCUACGCGUAAUGAAAGUGAACGCAGGUGAGAGCUUCGGCGCAUCAUCGACCGAUCCUGAUGUUCUCGGAUGGAUUUGAGUAAGAGCAUACGGGGCCGGACCCGAAAGAAGGUGAACUAUGCCUGUAUAGGGUGAAGCCAGAGGAAACUCUGGUGGAGGCUCGCAGCGGUUCUGACGUGCGAAUCGAUCGUCAAAUAUGGGCAUGGGGGCGAAAGACUAAUCGAACCUUCUAGUAGCUGGUUCGC
rnacentral:rRNA from 1 species